GACGAACGCUGGCGGCGUGCCUAACACAUGCAAGUCGAACGGAGUUAAAUCGAAGCUUGCUUUGAUUUAACUUAGUGGCGGACUGGUGAGUAACGCGUGAGCAAUCUGCCUUCAAGAGGGGGAUAACGGCUGGAAACGGUCGCUAAUACCGCAUAACAUAUAACUGAGGCAUCUCAGAUAUAUCAAAGGAGUAAUCCGCUUGAAGAUGAGCUCGCGUCUGAUUAGGUAGUUGGUGAGGUAAUGGCUCACCAAGCCUACGAUCAGUAGCCGGACUGAGAGGUCGAACGGCCACAUUGGGACUGAGAUACGGCCCAGACUCCUACGGGAGGCAGCAGUGAGGAAUAUUGGUCAAUGGUCGGGAGACUGAACCAGCCAAGUAGCGUGAAGGAUGAAAGGUUCUAUGGAUUGUAAACUUCUUUUAUACGGGAAUAACACCAUCUACGUGUAGAUGUCUGCAUGUACCGUAUGAAUAAGCA
rnacentral:rRNA from 1 species